rnacentral:lncRNA from 1 species
GGGAGCCGCUCCCGGGCGGCACGACGCCGAGUCCCUCCUCCCCUCCCCGCAGGCAGCCUGUGCCUUUUCUCCAAACGAAGACAGCACUUUGAAAAUUCUUUCAAUGGAUUUUUUUUUCCUUGAAAGAUCGUACUGGGGGAAAAUGAUACUUCUAUUAGUUACAUAUUCUCCAAUCGCAUCCUCGCACCCCCCUCGUUUUGAGAUCGCUCCCCUAGGCAGGCUCAGGCGGGCGCGGAGCGGCGCGGAGUGACAAAGCCGCCGCUGCCGCCGCCGGGGGUGGGAACCGCUCUCGCCCGCCCGCCCCUCGACUCGCGAGGGCGUAAAAGUUUGUCUCAGCUCGAGCGUUCGUAGCGCCAACACGCCCUCAGGUAAAGGUGGAAGUAAAUGGCCACGCUGUAUUGACAGAGAUUGAGAAACGGAAAUACCACCACCGUUCAGCCAAUCUGCUGGGAGGACUGCUUGCAGGGGACUCGUGCUCCAGAUGUUGCACUAGAGGCGCUGCAAGUGUGAGCAGCAGGUAGAUGAAACUCAAGAGAAAAGUGUGGGUAAACGAAACUAGCCGAUGAUGAACCUGUUUUCUCCCUGACCACAAUAUGAACCAGGAUGAUGGCGGUGGCAGUGGGCCUGCAUCACAGGUUGCAGCAGAUGUUCUCAAUAUUUCUAUUAACAUUUCCUUAUUUCCAUAUGCAAGAGGAGCCCCAGAGCCUCAUCCCUGUGGUAGCUACCAUGCCGUGGUAGGUGAUGCUGUACUCUUCCACAUCAUCCUUCCGGUUCUAGCAGA